GCCCGUCUAGCUCAGUCGGUAGAGCGCUGGCCUUUUAAGCCAGUGGUCGUUGGGUUCGAGCCCCACGGGGGGCG
rnacentral:tRNA from 1 species